UGCCCCAACCAUGGCACAGGGCCCUCCCUGCGAGCUGGCGCCCCGCUCCCUGCACGGACGGGGCCUCUGAGGGCUGCUGCGGGCCCCCCCUCUCUUACUGCGAGAGGCCAGGAUUCCUCCGUGUGGGGCCAGAAUUUCUUUUUUUUUUUUUUUUUUUUUUUUUGUCUUUUGUCUUUUUGUCUUUUGUUGUUGUUGUUGUUGCUAUUUCUUGGGCCGCUCCCGCGGCAUAUGGAGGUUCCCAGGCUAGGGGUCCAAUCGGAGCUGUAGCCACCGGCCUACGCCAGAGCCACAGCAACGUGGGAUCCGAGCCGCGUCUGCAACCUACACCACAGCUCACGGCAACGCCAGAUCGUUAACCCACUGAGCAAGGGCAGGGACCGAACCCGCAACCUCAUGGUUCCUAGUCGGAUUCGUUAACCACUGCGCCACAAUGGGAACUCCCAAGGGCCAGAAUUUCUUUCCAAACCACUAAACGUGCCCAAAGCCAGUGCGGCUAUAAAAAUAAUAAUAAUAAAAAUAAAAUAGGAGUUCCCAUCAUAGUGCAGUGGAAACGAAUCCGACUAGGAACCAUGAGGUUGCAGGUUCGAUCCCUGGCCUCGCUCAGUGGGUUAAGGAUCCGGUGUUGCCAUGAGCUGUGGUGUAAGUCGCAGACGCAGCUCAGAUCUUGUGUUGCUGUGGCUGUGGUGUAGGCUGGCAGCUAUAGCUCCAGUUCGACCCCUAGCCUGGGAACCCCCGUAUGCAUCAGGUGCAGCCCUAAAAAGACAAAAAGACAAAAAAUAAAAUAUCUCGCAUAAAUACUAUGCAUGGUAUCAGGGUUCAGAAUGAGCCUCCCCAAAUGUGCUGCUCUUGCAUGUGGAUUGUUUUGAGCUCUAGGCAGUUGCCACCCUGGGUUCAGUGGAAACCACUUCUCUUCCCCUAGCCACCUAGAAGAAUUUAAAUUGGGGAAUUUUUCCCAGGAAAGAGGUAUCACCAGAGAUAAAUUUUAUUGAGGGAGUCCCAGCUGUAUGUCAGGGUGAACGUCUGGCGACCCAGCAUCUCUGCUCUUCCUGUGAUCCUGUGAGUGACCCCCCUGUCCUCGGAAGCGCCCAGCCACCCCCUGCUUCCUCAGCUAGGAUGGCAGCUAGAGCGCCUGUGACCCGUGUGGCGCUGCGCCUUUCAUAUAUGUAGGGAUUUCUGACCUUCUCAUGUAGGCGGGGUUUCCCAUAUAUACAAAGCUAAAUUUUAUUGUCUCUGUCUCAAGUCAGGUUAAUUCUUAGACCAGCCAGAAGGACCUUGAAAGGCAGAGGAAAGUUUUCUUCCUCCCAGCGGGACUCUUUUGUAUUAUGAAAUGGUCAUUAAAAAGUUGAAGCCCUCUAAAGAAAUCUCUCAUCCCCCGUCAAGGGCUUGCAGAAAUUCCCUUGUGAUGCAGCGGGUUAAGUGUCCCAUGUCGCUGUAGUAGCUGUGGCACAGGCUGGAAGUACAGCACAAUUUCCAUCCCUGGCCAGGGAACUUCCAUAUGCUACAGGUGCAGACCUUGUGUCAGGUGUGCGCAGGUACAUCCUUGGGGAACUCCUCUUACUGUUCCCCUCAUUUCACCGCCAAGACACUUCGGCUGAGCCCCUAGUGGGCCCUGGGGAGGGCACAAACUGUCCUCAGACCUGACCUUGGAUGCAGGAGAUUCCUUCACAGUCCCAAACUUUAUACCUUCCAUCCAUAUCCUCAGAUUGCCAGACCCGGGCUGUCCCUGGACUGUGAUGUCUGGCAAGGCUUGUGGUUUGGGUGGGAAUUAAUCCACCUUGGCCCCAUGUAUGCUCCCAGCCUAACCACGCAGGGGUCCAGAAGGGCCUCGGGUGGGACACAGAUCUGCUGGGACUGGGAGAGAGGCUGGUUCCUGGGGCCAGUGGACAGCACCCCACAGAGCAGGGUGCAGUGUUUCAGAACAAGGCCCAGCCCUCCAGGGAUCCUCCCAGAACCUGAGCUCAGUGAUGCUCAAGGUACCAGCGAUUCAACAAAUGCCAUGAUCCUCCGCUGGCCGCCUCGCGCCUAAGGGCUGGAAUCACCAUAAGAAACCCCCUGUGGGCAAGGGCUCUGCCCAGGCUUCCCUCAUGUGCCUCCCCUGCCCCCUGCGGGGGAGGCCACUCUAAAGGGGUCCUGGCCCCAAUUCUAUCGUGUGUGGAGGCUUCCCCACCCCAACAAACAAGUCUCAGAUGCCAGUAAGGUGUCCAAGACUUCAACUCGGUUCUGACACUGUCUCCCUGGAGAUAGAAUCAGAUGCCACAGGUGAGGGCUCAGUCCCACACGAUGCCCCCUCUUCAGAGGCCAGGGAGAAGCCCAGGUUGUCGCCUGUACUUCUGGCCGACUGGCUAUAAAUCAGAGUUCCCACUACCUCCUCCCGAGUUUGAUGAAUCUGCAAGAACAGCUCACAGACUCAGGAAAACCCAUUUGCUCACUAGCUUACUGAUUUGUUUUAGAAGGGUGCGAAAGGGUAGGAUCCAUAGCCCGAGGGAGAGGUGUGUAGGGGCGGGUCGGGGGAGGGGCGAGGAGCUUCCGGGCUCUCCCUGGGCUCCACUCUUCCCAAACCUCCACCAGUUCACCAGCCCGGGAGCUGUCCAGACCCGGUCCUUUGGGGUUUUUAUGGAGGCUUCAUUGCAGAAGUGCGCUUGAUUGAAUCGCGGGCUGUUGGCAUUUGCAGGUCGGGGAAUGUGUCGGAAAGUUCCAACCCUCUAAUCAUAUAGUUCUCCUGGCUAUCCACCCCCAUCCUUAGGUGCUUCCAAAAAUCACCUCAUUCAUGUAACGAAAGACACCUACGUCAUUUCCACCACUUAGAACAUUCCAAAGCCAGGGAUUGUGGAUGAAAACCAAAUAUAUAUGAGAAAUAGGUUUGGUCACCUGAAUGACAAAACAUGUAUUUCUUAUGAACCACACAGUAUUGCAGCACUAAUUUAUAGUAAAUGGCAGGAGUUCCCAUUGCGGCUCAGUGGUUAAUAAACUUGACUGGUAUCCAUGAGAAUGCAGGUUCGAUCCCUGGCCUCCCUCAGUGGGUUAAGGAUCCAGUGUUGCCAUGAGCUGUGGUAUAGGUUGGAGACAUGGCUCAAAUCCUGUGUUGCUGUGGCUGUGGUGUAGGCCAGCACCUGUUGCUCCAGUUCGACCCCUAGCCUGGGAACCCCCAUAUGCCUCGCGUGCAGCCCUAAGAAAAAAA
rnacentral:lncRNA from 9 species